UACGUAGGGGGCGAGCGUUGUCCGGAUUCAUUGGGCGUAAAGCGCGUGUAGGCGGCCAGAUAAGUCCGCUGUGAAAUCUCGAGGCUCAACUUCGAGCUGUCGGUGGAAACUGUCUGGCUAGAGUCCGGAAGAGGAGAAUGGAAUUCCUGGUGUAGCGGUGAAAUGCGCAGAUAUCAGGAAGAACACCCGUGGCGAAGGCGGUUCUCUGGGACGGUACUGACGCUGAGACGCGAAAGCGUGGGGAGCGAACAGG
rnacentral:rRNA from 1 species